rnacentral:misc_RNA from 1 species
AAAUUCUCAACCCCAUCUUUCUUGUGAAUGAAUGGUGUUUGGAUGUGGAAGCCUGCUGGCCUUGCAUAGGUCAGCUCUUCUGAAAUACAUUAGCGGGGCCGCUGUAUGCGAAGCUGCAGCUUGGUAAUGAUAGAUGUCUUACCAGGUCACAGUUGAGCAAAGUGCCCAGCUUACAGUCGUCUCUGUGAGACACUUGACAUGACA